rnacentral:rRNA from 1 species
UACGUAGGGGGCAAGCGUUGUCCGGAAUUAUUGGGCGUAAAGAGCUCGUAGGCGGUCUGUCGCGUCUGCUGUGAAAACUCGGGGCUUAACCCCGGGCCUGCAGUGGGUACAGGCAGACUAGAGUGCGGUAGGGGAGACUGGAAUUCCUGGUGUAGCGGUGAAAUGCGCAGAUAUCAGGAGGAACACCGGUGGCGAAGGCGGGUCUCUGGGCCGUAACUGACGCUGAGGAGCGAAAGCAUGGGGAGCGAACAGG